rnacentral:rRNA from 1 species
CGCCCUUCAGAGGGGGGAAACAGUUGGAAACGACUGCUAAUACCGCAUACGAUACAAUCUCGGCAUCGAGACUGGAUGAAAGGUGGCCUCUAUUUAUAAGCUAUCACUGAAGGAGGGGAUUGCGUCUGAUUAGCUAGUUGGAGGGGUAACGGCCCACCAAGGCGAUGAUCAGUAGCCGGUCUGAGAGGAUGAACGGCCACAUUGGGACUGAGACACGGCCCAG